GGCGUGCUUAACACAUGCAAGUCGAACGGGGAAAGCGGGAGCUUGCGCCUGCUGGAUCAGUGGCGAACGGGUGAGUAACACGGGAGCAAUCUGCCCCGAACUCUGGGAUAAGCGCUGGAAACCCGGAUUACUACCGCAUAACCAAUUUCCUGGCAUCAGGAGAUUUUAAGAGAGUUAUCGGAUAGAGAUGAGCAUGCGUAAGAUUAGAUAGUUGGCGAGGUAACGGCUCACCAAGUCUACGAUCUUUAGGGGCGCUGAGAGGAGAAGCCCCCACACUGGGACUGAGAUACGUGCCAGACUCCUACGGGAGGCAGCAGUAGGGAAUAUUGGGGAAUGGGCGCAAGCCUGACCCAGCCACGCCGCGUGCAGGAAGAAGGCCCUCUGGGUUGUAAACUGCUUUUGACUGAGAAGAAAAGACUCCUUGCGAGGAGAGUUGACGGUACCAGCAGAAUAAGCCACGGCUAACUACGUGCCAGCCGCCGCAGUAACAC
rnacentral:rRNA from 1 species